rnacentral:rRNA from 1 species
ACGAACGCUGGCGGCGUGCCUAAUACAUGCCAGUAGAACGCUGAAGGAGGAGCUUGCUUCUCUGGAUGAGUUGCGAACGGGUGAGUAACGCGUAGGUAACCUGCCUGGUAGCGGGGGAUAACUAUUGGAAACGAUAGCUAAUACCGCAUAAGAGUAGAUGUCGCAUGACAUUUGCUUAAAAGGUGCAAUUGCAUCACUACCAGAUGGACCUGCGUUGUAUUAGCUAGUUGGUGAGGUAACGGCUCACCAAGGCAACGAUACAUAGCCGACCUGAGAGGGUGAUCGGCCACACUGGGACUGAGACACGGCCCAGACUCCUACGGGAGGCAGCAGUAGGGAAUCUUCGGCAAUGGACGGAAGUCUGACCGAGCAACGCCGCGUGAGUGAAGAAGGUUUUCGGAUCGUAAAGCUCUGUUGUAAGAGAAGAACGAGUGUGAGAGUGGAAAGUUCACACUGUGACGGUAUCUUACCAGAAAGGGACGGCUAACUACGUG